rnacentral:lncRNA from 1 species
CAACAACAAUCAGCUAAUAAUUUGAGCCGUCGAGCCAUCUUUCCACCAGUAUCAUAUCAGUCAUCACCACUAGCACGUGCAAAAAUCACUACUACUCGAAAUCGCUAACUACUGCUAACUUUGAUUAUUAUUACUAUUAUCAUACUAAUCACAUUCAUAUCAGAGAUAAGAACGAAACACAGAAACAGAACAACUGAAGAAUAUAUGGAAAAUGGCGCAUAAAAUUAAUUAAUUACCAACAAAAACCAGCACCUAAUUAAGGUAGAAAGCACUAAAACCAAUAAUUAUACUACAAAUCACAUUGUUUAAUACACAUCGCAAAUCCUCACUAAUCAUCCAAAAAAAAAAAAAAAAAAAAAAAUCCAAACCAUCCAUAACCGAAUAGGCAAAGGUUCUUUCUUCAUCUCCUGCAACGAGUAAUCCUAUUGCAGCCUCUGGUGUAAGGGUUAACCGGAGCUCUAGAUUUGAAGCAAUUAUUAGUAUAAUAAGAUCUACCUGACCUUGGAGGGCAAGGAAUUCUAUUAGCCGCAAGAGCUCCGUAAGAGAUAUAAUAAUGAACUCUUCUCCAGAACAAAGAUCUACGGUCGCCUAUCUCUUCAUUUUCUUCGUCACUAUCUAAAUCUAUCAAUCCAUUGUCGAACUCACCUUUCCCUUCCAAAUCACUGUACAUAGACAUCGCCAUUGGCCAUUCGAGACUGUCCGCCAUUAUCUUCAACCCUGUUUCUUCCACUUGAGCUUCGAUUCCUAAGCUAAGAGAGAGGGAAACAGCGAAAAGGAAAGUUAAGUGUUUAGAAAUCGCCAUUGGAGGGAGAGAUUUGAAACUAAACUAAGCUUGAGAGAGACUUAAGUAUGUCUGUCAAUGGCUAGUUGGGUGCUUUCUUUUUGAGUGAUGGAGAGGGAAAAGGAAGAGUAGGGACAAGAGGAAGAGGUCACAUGGAGCUGCAGUUGAAGAUAGAGAGAGAUUGAUUGGGUUACAGCUGUGCUUCAUCAAUGCAUCAAUUAACGCGUCGUCCAAUUCUGGUACAGUUUUGUUCGCGCAAGGGAGAGAGUAGAAAGAAAUGAUUCUGUGUGUUAGGUUCCACAAGAUAGAUUUGUGGUAUGAUGGGUUUCUUGAAAUGUGGCAGUAUCUAAAUGGGUGUUAUGGGAAGUGACAAGUGGAAAUACUGUGUUAAACGGUGUCGAAUUCGUCUCUUUCUCUAUUUUGCGCAAAGGGUGGCGAAUAAGACAGCGGUACAUUCGGCAGGUUGUCCUAAACGACGCGGCUGGUCGGACAUGUUCGGUCCCACAUUAAAGUCAUAUAUGUAUAAUAUUAAUAUUACCAAUUAUUAAUCAUCUACUUCUCCAAAAAGAAAAAAAAAAUUAUGAAUCCCCUAGAUUGAUAAUUGAUCCCAACCUUAAACUUAACAAUAAAAAAAUCCUUUCAAUCAAAUUUUAAAAAACGGAAAGGUUGUUUUUCUUUUUCUAAUAUAAUAUCCUCAGAAGUGGAAUUAUUAGUGAGAUUUUGAACUCAAUUUUUAAAAAGAAAAUAUAAAUUAAUUAUGAUGCGGUUAAAACAGUAUUAUGGAAUCAGAUUGACCAGUGAGACCAGUUAAAAUAGAAAAUGACACUUUUAAUUUAAUUAUAAAGUUAGCCCAAUUUGUAGGGAACCAAAUGUUAGAAUAAUUGAAUUUUUUUAUAAAAAUAUAUUGUUUUCAUUUAACAAUUUUUUUAGAAAUUAUUGAGUAAAAUUUUUUUAUUUAUAUAUAUUAUUUUGUUUUAUAGGAUGCAUAUUUAAUGAGAAUAAUAUAUCAUAUAUAUUAACUAUUACAAAAAUAAUAUAUAUAUAAAUGUUAAAAAAAAAAAAGAUUGAAUCGGUCUGAUUUUAACUCAAUCAUAGCAUCGAUUCGGUUGUUGAUCCGGUUCACUUUGAUUUCGAGAAAUAUAUGGUCAGAUUUUUUUUGAGUUGCUGGCUAUUAUAAUAAAAAAUAAAUCCAAUUUUAUCCCUAUCCUAUUUUUCAAAAUUCGUUGGGUACAACAUUAUCAUGUAUGUAUCUGAAUAGUCGGUGCUAAAUGUUGGGAUAGAUUGACACAUUUAAUGAUCUUCCAAGGAGGCCAUCUAGCGUUCUCUAAUACAAGGCCAACUCCCUCACAAUUGAUUUUGCUCCGAGUAUAAUCUUGUAACUACCAGAAUACAUAUAUUCACCCCUCCAAUCUCACAUUUUAUAAUUUUAAUUUUGUAACAAUUUAAACUUUAUAAUAUGGUUUAUCAUGCAUCUGAAUUUACAAAUUUUAAUAACACUGCAUAUAUUUACACAUUAAAGAUAAUAAUUUUUAAAGUUUUUUAAUUUUUAUAUGUAAAAUGCUGAUUUGAUAUGUAAUUAGUAUAAUUUUUGUAUAAAUAUUUAAGUAAUCUAAUUUCGUAAAUCAAAGUGUUUAAUUUAUGUAAUUUUAUAAUUUAAAGUAAAAAAAAAAGCCGAAAGUGACAUAAAUUUAAACUAAUAAGGUUUAGGGAUGGAUUUAUGUAUUAAUUAUUUAGAUUUCUUCUUUCUAAAUUUUCUUUCUAUAUUGUGUGCAGUAAGAGAGAGAAUAUAUUUGCUAAGUUGAUGUAAAAUCUAGAUCAUCUUUCUUUGCAUUUAUCUAUGAAGUUCAGAAUCUUAUAAUUCAUGUUUAAUUUCUUAAUAAUAAAAAUUAACAUUUGAAAUCAAGUUAAAUUCUGAGAUUGAAGAGAAUUAUUGCAACCAAAAAAAAAAAAAAAACUACUAAUAAAGGUAAAUGGGCUCGCAAGCGCAUAUUAUCUUGGAUUUAAAUUCAUAGGCUUAAAAACCCAAAAGACCAUUCAUUUUGUUCAUCAAAAGCCAAGCCCACCUAUAGACUUUUCAAGCCCAAAAGAAAGGGCUAGAUUGGGCACAAAUUGAAAGUCAAUAAUCAAAAUGGAGAACACGAGUAGCUUGAUGAAGGAGAUAGGGUGCUUGGAAUUUGGAUCUGUUUCUAUGGGCUGCCCUAGAAAUAGAACACCUACCUAAACUAUAUGCCAAUAGAUUGAAUUUAAGACUUUCAAUCGCUCCAUACUGUAAAAAAGAAAUGAACCCAACUUCUAACUAGUCGCUUAUCACUGCUUAUCACUUAUUAUGAUUCAUAAACUCGGUCUAGACAAGAUAAUCAUUUAAAUUUUUUAAAUAUAUAUAUAUAUUACCCACACAUAUUAAUUUUUCUGACCAAGCUCACCCCCAAGGCUCUUGGAUUCUCUUAAUGAGGCUAUAAGAUUGGACAAAAGCUAUGACAAAUAAUAUAUAUAUAUAUAUAAUGCAGUACUUAUAUAAUUAAGAAAUUAAAGAAACCGUGACAACCAAUGAGAUAACUCAAUCAUUACUCAGUAUGACAAUCUCAGCUGUUAGUGGUCCGUUAUUCAUUGUUUUUACUGUCAUACAGAUUCCUUUCUUCUCUCCAUAUAUAUUUGCAUGCUGAAAAUGGCAGAGAGAACCCACAGGAAAAUGCCAUUUUAGUCCAGUUCUAAAUGGAUUAAUUAAAGAACAAACUUUAAAAAAAAAAGAAAAGAAAAGAAAAAAACUUAUCGUUCCAAUUGGACUGAACAGAGCUGAAUGCGUGUAAGUAUUAAUUUCAUGACCUAUAUAGUUUUGACGAAAGUGCACCGACCCUUAAUUCUUAGCUAGCUUUUACAUUUUUUGCAGGGGUUGACACUGCAAUUUUGUGCAUUUAUGAAACCAAACUGUCACUCUCUCUUUAUAUAUAUAGUACAGUUGAAUUUUAGAGCCCGCGUGUGAGGACCUAUUAUUGCACCAAGCUCAAGCUGUUCAUGAGCUGAGUAUGAACUUUGGAAAUAUUAAAUUUUCCAAAAAUCUGGCUCAUUGGGUUUGUAACUCUUUUUUUAUAAAUUGAAAUUUAACCGUUAUGUAAAUGAGACUAAUUUAUGUCUGACAUGGAUUGUAUUCAGCUAAACUCAGUUUUUUUUUAAAGAACGACUCCAAGUCUCAAAUCUCUUAUUUUACAAGUAUAGUUGACUUAAAAUAUAGUUUACAUCAACUGUUCCAACUUUUUUCAGAGUUUUGUGGGAAGCAGUGGCAGUAAAAAAAAAAAAAUGUUAAUGGUGAUUAUGAGAAAUAAAAGGUAGACAACGUGAAAAGAAGCAGCUGCAAUGUGGGUAUUGGUUUGUCCAUUUUGGGGUAACUUAUGGGAGAGAAAGGAGGGGCGAAGAUUAUCAUGUUGAAGGAAAAGACAGAGAAAAGGGACCAUUUUCUGAGGAAAAUGGCAAUUAUCUCGUCAGUGUUAGAAUAAAAAAUAAUAUCAUAAACAGUAGUGUUUUGUGUAAUUCUUUUAUCUUAUUUUAUUUGCUUAUAGAAACAGAAUGAAUUGUAGGUUACUUUGAGUAUACUCAGAAUUGUAAGGAUAAAUCUCUAGUGAGUUCUAUUUAAUGUCCAAUUGAAGAGAGAGAGGUCCUCUACCACGUGCAUAUCUUAAAUCUUUAUGCUGUAGAGAUAAGAUAAUAAUAAUUCAAGAGAAAAGGAAAGAACUAUAUUGAACAACUCACACUCUCGCACUCAUAAACAGCCAUUCUUUACAUUUUGGAUUCUUUCUGUAUUUAGUUUUGAUGCCUUCAGUAUAGAACAGAACAUGUUCCCUUAUUUGAAUCAUCUUCUUCUAUUAGACUACGUGUUUUUCUAUAUAUAUAUAUAUAUAUAUAUAUAUAUAACAUUUUUCAUUUACUUUAUUUAACAAGAGAUUUAAAAUCUUACCGCAUUUUAUUUCUUUUUCACUAUUAAAUUAAACGAGUCGAGUUGAAUUGUAACGAACUCGAACAAAGUACUUAGACUCAAAUUUAAAUUCAAAUUUGAGCUCCACCCAUUUACUAAAUUUUAUUAAAUUUAUCAAAGGAAUAAAAAAAUAAUUUUAAAGGAAAUAUGAUGUCAUAACUAAGUUGCAAGAUUGGACUUACUUCCACAAGGAUAGAGAGCCGAAAGGCACCUUACACAAAUAAAGUCAAAUCACCAGCUAGCACCUAAAGAAAUUUACCAGUACAAAAGAAAUGAUCAGCUCAUGUACUUGCUCUACGAGUCGGACAGAGUCACAAUCAACCCUAAUCUGCUUUGAAAAGUGUGCCAAAGGGAGCAGCCCGAGAGGUGCGUCAGUUAAUGUACUAAUGAUCAUAACCCACCACCGGAAAGCCGGAAUGCUCCGCCGGCGGUGAUCUGUAAAUCAUAGAAUUGGCUGGUUAAUUUGCUUUGAGAAUAAUAAAUUAUGGGUCAAGGUGGGCGUUGGUGAUCUUCUGACAAAUGGCAUGUGAGUGGGGUUUCAAUAGUUCUUUUGUUAGUGAAAAAAAAUAUUUUAAAUUAGAAAUGGGAAAGAAAAAUCAAUCUAAGUAAGCAAAGCAAUAGCACUUACACAACUCAAAGAUCAAAAGCACUUAUUAUUAAAGGGGAUGCCAUAAAAGAAAGUCUCUCAAAGGGGUUCAUGCACCAGUACUCUUUAAUCUGAGCCUUCUACUUUGUGGGCCUAGUUUCAUGAAAGGUCUAUUUACCAUUGAUCUUUUCUACUUAUAGUUUAGAUUUUUCUAUUCAUUUAUCACUGGUAAAGAUCCAACGGCUGUUAAUCAAUAUCUUUAGAUUUAGGCCCACAUAAUGGGCGGUCACUAUCAAAAAUCAUAAAUUCAUCAUAAAUGAUCUCUGAGUCUUCUCUUUCUCUCUCUGUCAACUUUGCAUGAAUAAAAUAUUACAAACAAGUUGCUAUAUAAAGACUCACUUCUGUAACCCUACUGAAUUGGUGAUGGGUUUCUGAGAUAAUCCUGAACUUUCCAUCUCUAUAUUACACUUUUCUUCUACUUCUCCAUUUUUUUUUCUUUUAUCUCUCUGCUGCAUAAACAUCAAAAUCUUAAAAAAAUUAAAAAAGAAACCUAGUUUCUCUCUCUCUUAAGCUUCUCUCUUCUUCUUUCAGUUUCUCCAUACCUCUGUUACUCAGUUCAUCAAUCUCUCUCUCUCUUUCAGCCCAUUCUUUUCUCCAUACAGAGACUUUCUUUUCUUUCCUAAAUUCUUGGGUUCUUUCUUUCGUUCUUUCUUUUAUAAGCAUGGAUGUUGACAUGAUGAAAUCAUCAUCAUCAUCAUCAUCAGGAGAGGAACACAUGGACAUGAUGACAAUGAUGAUGCAAAUGGAAAAGCUUCCUGAUUUUUGUGACCCUAAUAUGCAACAAGAAAUCCAUUUUGGCUCCAAUGGAAAUAAUACUAUUUAUAAUGUUUCUGCUUCUUCUUCACUUCUUAACCCUAACCCAUCUCCUUCUUUACCAUUUUUGGCCACUACAACUCCAAUUCAAGAACCCAUUACAGGAUCUCUUCAGCCUAAUAUGGUAACAGCAACAAAAUUCAAAUAUCCACCUCCAUUUUCAAAUGCAAACUCGUUUUUAUCAUCAAUGGAAAAGAAAAACUCAACAGCAGCCAUUAGAGAAAUGAUUUUUCGCAUUGCUGCUAUGCAACCGAUUCAUAUAGACCCAGAAUCGAUAAAGCCUCCAAAAAGAAGGAACGUUAAAAUAUCUAAAGAUCCACAGAGUGUAGCAGCAAGGCAUAGGAGGGAAAGAAUAAGCGAAAGGAUAAGGAUUUUACAAAGAUUAGUUCCAGGAGGGACUAAAAUGGACACUGCUUCUAUGUUAGAUGAGGCUAUACAUUAUGUCAAGUUUUUGAAAAAGCAAGUGCAGUCUUUAGAACAAGCUGGGUCUAAUAGACCAAUGGCUGGCUUUCCGUUUUCAGGUUUAACAAUGCCUAAUAUGGGUUAUUCUUCUUUGGUUAAGAAUUGCCAGUCAAGUCCUCAUAUGGUGGGCUCAAUGCAGAUACUUAGAUAAAAGACAGGAUUGGGUUAAGGUUAAUUAUAUGAUUUUAAUGUGCAUUAGUUGUGGUUUGAGAGAUAUUGUAAAUUACUUAAGAUUAUUCAGCUGUUAUCUUGUUCCCUUUGUUGUGUAAUAUUAUUUCAAAUUGAUGAUUCUAAUUAUCAUUAUUAAUUAAUGUAAGCCUUGUUCCAAAAAUUCUAUUGUAUCUCUUCUCUCGUUAGAAUGUUGAAAAGAUCAAUGUCUAAUCUAUGACUUAAUUAAUUAAUUAUCAUAUCAAGUAAUUAAUGAAAUGGACUUAGAAAAAAGGAAUAUAGAUGCAUACGGCCUGUUUAAAUCUUCUUUCUGUCUGUCUGUCUUUCUUUUCCCCCUCUCUAUUUCUUCACUCUUGUUCGUUUUUAGAAACUUUCUUUUCUGUUUUUGAACUUCUAGAGAUUUUUCUUCUUUUCUUUUUUUCCUUUUCUAUAUAUACUCCAAAAGAAAAAUCUUAUAUAAGUGUCAAAGACUUAGAGAGUCAACAGUACUAAUAUAUAUAUGUAACCAUGCCAUGCUGUAAAGUUGGUUGGGAUAGUUUUAACACCUUAAACCUUGGAUCUUUUGUUACAUUAUGAAGCAGAUAUUUAAUUGUUUAGUUAUUAGGCAAAGGUCUAUGUAGUUUGUACUAAAUGUUAUGAACAAUAUGUACUUGAUUUUGAGCAAUUGAAGGAUCAAUUUAUUUUUUAUCGAAGAAUACAAAAUGAGGAAGCCUCUCAAUGGAGCGUUUGAAUGAGAAAAGCACGGACAGAAUCUGGUAAAAAUUCAGAACUAAGCUAUAAUUGCCUUCUGGGGUUCGACCAACAUUAAUUGAACCUUUACAGUAAGUGAAAUGGGGAUUGCCCAAAAGGUCGAUCGGUUACAUAUUUCCCAUACUUUGUACACAAAAAUAAGAGAUGAAUGUUGAGCUGUACAAAGAUAGUUUGGCACCCAACUUGCAGGAGAUGCUUCUCUUGAAGAGACUCCAUUCAAUAUCUUUUGUAAUUCAGUGUUCAUUGUAUACUGUUGUUCUACCAAAAUUCCUUUAGAUUCAACUUUAUCAUUGGAAUGGCUCACCCGAUCAAUUAUUUUUGGCACCCAUUCUAACCAUUCUGCUGUUUCAGACUAUUCCUUCUGACGAUCGAUUCUCAACUUCUUGCAAAAAGAAAAGACACAACUUGGUAAAGAUUCAACAGCCUAUUAUUCUGCUGGAGAAUAUGAUUAGAUUUCAUCAGAUUAGGAAAGAACCAAGCCAUCCUUAUCUAUACAUGGCUUUAUCAGUAUUUUAAAUUGCAACAUUCAAUUUUCAACCAUUAACUUUUUAUUGUUCGAGGAGUUCAAAUGAGAAGGCAUUGGAAAAUAAGAGGGACAAAAGAAUACUAUUUAGAAGACUAAAUCAAAUUGUCAUCAACUAACACCAGAGAUAUGAGUGCACAGUUGUUUUUACGUACUCUUCAAUCACAAAUAAUUAGAAAAAAGAAAUAUGAGAAAUGACUUAAACGAUAAGAUAUGUUUGAGUUGAGUGGACGGUUUCUAUAAAAAAAAUUACUUAUAAGAUAACUACGAAUUCUAAAACUAAAAUAAUCGUAUACUGAAAAAGUAUGACCUAGAAUAUAUAAUUAAAAAGCCGUGUAAAUUUGGGAUUUUCAUAAUAAUGCCAAAAAAUAAUUAAAAAAAAAAAUAGGCAACAUUAAUCUGAGUGGCCAAACUAAGUCACGCUCCAAAUCUCGUUAUCUCUGGAAAACUAAGACAACUAGUAUUUUUGUGAAUAGUUAACAUAAAACAAUUGAUUUUAGGAAUUCCAAAAAAAGGAAGAUUUAUUUUGGAAAUUGCAUUUGUGGGAGAAUUAAAAAAUUUUAUACUUUAUUAGUUAAAUUAAAAUUAUGUAUUCCACUCAAAAAAAAAAAAAAAAUGGAAGCAUACCUCCUAAUUUAUUUUUCUAAAUAUAAAAAAUACAUUUUNNNNNNNNNNNNNNNNNNNNNNNNNNNNNNNNNNNNNNNNNNNNNNNNNNNNNNNNNNNNNNNNNNNNNNNNNNNNNNNNNNNNNNNNNNNNNNNNNNNNNNNNNNNNNNNNNNNNNNNNNNNNNNNNNNNNNNNNNNNNNNNNNAAUAUAUAUAUAUAUAUAUAUAUAUAUAUAUAUAUAUAUUUCAGCUUAAUCUAACAUAGAAAGAUUUUUUUUUUUCUAUGGAUAUUAUCGUAAGUUUUAUAUUGUUGGUUGUUCUUACAUGUUAUUUAAAAAAGAGUUACCAAGGUCUUCUUUUGGUUUGGUGUCGGGCUAUGGCAAUGUUAUCUUGCAGGUUGAUUCAACUAGCCUCAACAUAGAUCACCAGGUCUGAUUAUGGCUUGUCAAAAACUUCUUCUUCGUUAAUGGCAGGUUUCCAUUACAAAGAUUUAUAAAGAAGCAAUUUUUGCAGCAAUCGCCUUUGACUUUUCCUAGCGGAAUUAAUGUGUUAAAUCAACUUUUCCAUGGCAAUAAGAAGAUCGAUAGAAGUUGAUAGUUGUAGUGUGUUUUUUCCCUCGAACUAUUGCAGUGUAGAUUGGGUUUACAGCCCUCCACUUAGAUCAAAAUAAAUAAAAAAAUAACUUGCAACAAAGCUAAUAUUAUUGACUAACUUUCAUCCAUUACAUUAAUGGAAAAAAAAAAAAAAAAAACAUAUCAUUUAUACUAGAUUUAUGAGGUUGGUGAAGAAGUAUGACAUUUUAUAUAUGAUCUAGCUAGUUUCAAAUUUAGGAUUUUGAUAUGUAAAAAGCGAGAAAUAAAUCUAUUGAUCAAGUAAGUUAAUCAUUCUUGUAUAUUUUCCAUUGCAAGAUUUACAACAACGUAAUACAUGUCCUUUUAUUUAGAUUUUAUAUAUCAAUUCGUCAGAUGAAAAAGAAAUUGUUAGAAUCUUGAAGAAAUUACAAACUUUAUUAGUAUUUAACCAAAUGAGCUAAAAUCAGAAUGCAACUUUAUAUGCAAUUUUUAAAUAUGUUCUAUAUAUACUGAAUUAAAUGAAAUCUUUUCAAAGCAAAACAAACUUUUCCUCUAUUUUAAUUAGUCAAACAUCAUACUACAAAAAAAAAAAAAAAAAAAUCAGACAGUUGAAGUUAUUAUAAGUAGUUAGCAAAGUUGACUAAUGAAAUUUUAUCUUAAACAGAAUGGUCUGAAAAAGACAUCAACACGAGUGGGAUUAUAGAAAAAAAAAAAAAAAACCAAUUUGAUAAUUUAUUUAGUUAUUUAAAAAUUUUAGUUUAUUAAUUUGGAAUGGGCAGGUAGGUUGCCUCCCAAGGCAGGGUCGAAUUAUGGUAGUGUUGAUGUCUUAAGGAUCAUGCUUCGCUAAAAGCCAAUCUCUCUCCCUCUUUCUCACCUCUAGCUAUCCAAAUAAAGCCAAAGUGGGUAUUAUUAUUAUUAUUACUGUUAUUUUUAAUUUAUUAUUAUAUAAAAACUAUAUUAUAAAGAGAAGAGAAUUAAAGAAAAAGAUAAAAAUGGUCAAACCGCAUCUAACAAAUAGAAAGGCAUGUGUGAUAUGCCACUAAGGUCCCAACAUACCCACAGUGGGCUUUUGAUUAUUUGAAUUUAGGACAUUUUAUAUAUAUAGUGCAUUGUAUUGUAUCCCUCUUUCUGACACAUUCUAUCAUUCUUUUUAUCAUUUCAUUCAUAUACCCAUCUACCUCUUUUCUUAGGAUAAGUUCCCAUGUUCUUUGUGGCAGGAUAAAAAAGCCUAUAAUAAGAACAUUCUUAGAAUUUUUUUUUUUUUUUUUACCCUUUUCAUUAUCUUUUUCUAUCUCCAUAAUUAAAGAUCAAUGCGCUUUUUUGUUAGCUAAUGGUUUUGAAUUAAUUGAAUGUUAGUUAUAUAUGACUUUCAGAGAAUUAAUUACUAAAUAUGUUAGAAUUAACUGAUUAAGGGACUAUAUAGUAUUUUUUUUUUAUAUAUAAUUAAUGAAUUAUUUAUUACUUUAAAAGACUAAGGGAGGUGAUACAAUAAUGCUAGGGAGGUGCGACUAUAAAUGCAAAUUGCCAAAUAGGUCAAAUGAGAUUUAAACAUAUUACAUAGGUUGAAAUGUGAAAAUAAUUUUUUUUUAAAAAAAAAAAAUUACAUGAUGCGAACAGAGACAAUAAAAUGGUUGGUUGGAUUAGACCUUGGCAGAAGUGCUCACUUUAUAGGGACAGGUGGAGAGGACUUACUCUCAUCUAUUUUUCUUUUGGUUUGAUUUGGACUUUUUAAGAGUUUCUUCCAAUUCCAUUAUUUCUGUCCCUUAUGCAAGGUGAGAUGAAUUUUAAUUUUUCAAAUCCGACAAAAUAAAUUUCGACAAAUCAAUCAUUCUACAUGGCUUUGCCUCUUCUCCGGGAUUUUUUUUUUUAAAGAAUAAAAUAAAAUAAUUGUUCUUAAAUUCUACCACAUCAAAUCACUAUUUUCAGAUUUCGAACUUUUCACCUUAUAAAGUAAAAUUCGCUGAGUUGAUCCAACCACUUAUUGAAAAAAUGAAAAAAAAAAUGCCCAUUUCAACGUCAAUAAUGCAAAAAAAAAAAAAAAAAAAAAAAAAAAUUGCAUGGGAUUUUGGGUUGGGUUGGGCUGAAGUUGAUUUAGUUGGGCCAUAACCUCAAUUGAUUGCAGGAAGAGUUUCCCGAUUAACAAUUAUUAUUAUUAUUAUAAUUUAUAUCAAUCCCUUGAUUUCCUAUAUUUAAAAGAUUUUUAUUUAGUUAGUAUCUACAUACAUAUAUAAAAAUAGCAGAUUCAAAUUUGUUGAAGCUAGAGCUAGCUAGACAGGGUUGAGUGAAGAAAGAUGGCCCUGUUCUACGAGUGAUCCAAUACAAUCAUCAAACAUUUUCUUUAUGGACUUGAACUCAAAUCCUAAGCUCUUCAAUUUUGAUGUGUUAAAAUCAUAAAAUGGUCUGUUUAGUUGCUCAAACCUGAAAAAAACCAAUAAAACAUCAACUGGCACUGUUAGUUACUGACAAGAGAAAUUUUGUUCUAUAAUCACUAUUAUUAUAAUUACCUUUUUGGGACGGGUAGAGAAGGAUAAUGAGCUGAUAAGAACGAAACUAGUUCAUCAUUAUCUAAAACUGAUGAGCUACAUAGGUAUCUUCCAACAGCACUUUGAUGUUCAUAAACAAGGAUAUGGCAAAGUGCCACAUCAUCUAUGUGAACAUACCCCAUCCUUCCAUGCCACUUGAAUUUCUCAGUUUCCCCUGUUUCAUCCAUUCAUGUUGUUUAGAAAUACCAAAUCAAGCCCGCUCUAACAAUACACUUUCCGUUGAGCCGUAACGUAAUAUAAUGUAUCAAACCUAUUUUUAAUGUAAUCUUUACACUAAAAAUGCAUUUAUUAUAUUACAUUAUAUUUCAUUACAGUUCAUUACAGUUCAUUAAAUGAAGGUUUGGUAUAAAUGAAUUCAAAAUUGAAAAUUUAUUUACUUUUAUAAAAAAAGGAGAAUUGAAUUUUAACUCUAUGAAUUUGAAUAUAACUAAAUCAAAUUGAAUUUAUAUCCACCUUUCUUGAAUGAAAUUUGGUUUAAUUGUAUUCAAAUCCACGGAAUCGAAUUCGUGGAAUCGAAUUCUUAAUAUCUUUUGAUACCAAACAUAAAAAUUUAGAUUUAUAACUGAAUUUCAGAAAAUCUCGUGAUAUUUAUUUGUACCAAACAAGGUUAAUAUCAUUUUAACUGCUGUUUAGCAUCGUUUUUAAAGAAUUUGAAGCACCUCGAAGCAGGCCAAGAACAUCAGAUGCAGUAGAACACAAUUGAGUUGGCAAACUAGGACCGAUCACGAAGGAAGGAAGAACAGUUAUCAAAUGAAUCCCAUUUUUGUUGCAGAAAUCCCAUGCAGCUCUUUCAGCUAGUGUUUUUGAUAAAGGAUACCAUAGCUUCAUAUUCAUUAACACGUUAGCCUUUUGUUGUUCUAAUACAAUGUAGUAUUAAUUAUAACUAUAAAUUAACAGCAAUUUUUUACCUGCAGUGUCUCGCAAAGUUCAACAGAGCUCCAAGACGACUCGUCAAAAGGUACUGUGGGCUCAAAAUCAUCUCUAACUCUUACAGUUGAUGACGAUGAGGUCAGAAUUACACGCUUUAGAGAUGGAUUUUUUGCGCAAGAAUUCAAUACAUUCAACGUGCCUUUUACAGCCGGUUCCAAGAUUUCUGCCUGCAACACCAAAAUUUUAAAAAGAAAAAGAAUUACAUUUGCAUAUUAAUUAGAAAGACAAAAAGUCUAAUUUGGUGUUUCUGCAACUUAAUAAGAAACACAUUUUGGACAAGUAAAAAGAAAGAAGACAAUGCCUUUGGAUCAGAGGAGGGUUUGAGCACAGGGGAGGCAGUGUGAAAUACACCAUGGCAGCCAAAUAUUGCAUCAUCAAAGCUGCCUAUUUCCAUUAAGUCAGCUUUCACUAAUUGAAGUCUCUCAGAAGCUCCUUCUAACUUCCACAAGUGAGCUAAUUGCUUCUCAUUUCCUAUUAACAAACAUACAAAAUAUAAUAAUGACUUUUUUCUUAAAUAAUUACAAUUAAUUAGAUCGUUUUUAGUAAAAGCAAGAGAGACAAACCUGGAUCUCUUACUGUUCCAAUGACUUGGUAUCCUGAUAAUAGCAGUCGCUUGAUAAGCCAAGAAGCCAAAAACCCAGAAGCACCUGUUACACAAACUUUGCCUUCUACUUGAUCCAUGUAUAAGUUCUUGGUUCAAACUAAUUAAUAGUGUAAUUGCAUCCAAAUGGUUGAUCGAAUAUAUAAGAUUGGAUUAUCUUAGUAGGUGGCAAGUAGGAUUGUGGAUUAAUAAGAAGGUAGGUCAUGCUAUGCAUGCAUGAAAAGCAAUUACACUCUUCUUUUCAUGUUAUUUAGUAUUAGGUAAAGCUAUAAAUAUAUCAUUGAUGUAAUGGACCCGUUCAGGCUUUUCUGAUUUGGGCCUCAACUGGUCCAUAUCUUUUGUGCAAAAGCUUUCAGCUUCAAAACACAGUCCAAAUUGAUUUGGGCCUCUCGAUCACGAGAUGAAUGGCUGGGUGGUCCAACUGAUCCAUAUCCUAAGUAGUAACAAUGUCCUCUUACUAUUUGAUCAUUUUUAGGAUCCAUUGUGAAGCUAAUAUAGUGUCAAAUAUUCUCUCUAAUGAAGUUCUUGAAAGUUGGGUUGGGGUUUGGUGAAGCUGGAGCAUCCUUCUUCUCAAGUUUAGCUAAUAGGGUAUAGGCUUUCUAGCCUAGGUAAGUGUCUACCUUACCCCGAUUUAUUUAGGGUUGUCAAAACAAAUUUGUGUAAGUAUCGAAUUAAUUUAAUACAGUAAAAUGAUUAUAGUGAAUAUUUACUGACAUAUUUAUUAACCGCAUCAAAAAUUUAAACUCUAACACAACACAUGUAAUAUAUGUUGUAACACAUGUGAUAUGUUUAAUUAAGUAGAUUGCACGUGGAUUAUAAAAUCCAACGUAAUGCUCGUAACUUACCUAUAAUAAGUAGCUCAAAUUCAACACUAACGUGUUUAAUUAAAUAUAAAUUACAAAUAGAUUUACGAGUCAACUCAUUACAUGAAUAUACUAAGACUCAAUCCCCUCGUAUUAAUUUUAGAUGUUCGGUGAAUUCAUACGUACAUACGUCACAGUCCAAUUUGAUAGACCUAAAUUUUUUUUCUCUCAUUAUCAAAAAAUAAUAUAAAAUAUACCUAAUCAAAUAAAAUGAAGCAUGGAAAGAUACCCAAUCUUAUUUUAUUUCACAGCAAGUGUAAUUCUGAUUUCUCCGGUCCAUAAGCAGCGCAAGUGUGUCUUUAACCCAUGUGUUUGGCCAUUGUUCGUCAAAUCCAGUUACGUACGUAGAGCAAACCCACAGAUAUUUAUUCCUAAGAUAAAGAUUAAUGAAAGUCAACAAAUGGGAAACCUCUUUGGUCUCUGUCGGAACCAAAAAAAAUAUUGAAAGGACAUAUGAAUGAAUAUAUCCAUUCAUAUAGGAUAAGUCAUGGAAUUACACAUUGGAAUGGUCACGUAAAUUUUAUGUACACUCACAUUUCCACUUCCUUGUAAAUUCCCAUUUGUGUUUGACUGUGACCUAAUUCAUCCUUUUAUUUAUGCUAUUAAAGGAUGACAAUUUCCUAAUAAAAUACUAAUAUUUGAAAGAAAGAUUUAAAUUAUGAUUAUCGUCUAAGAUUGACCCUUGAUUUAUCCGUAAUGAGCUGCUUCUUGGAAACUCACCAGUUGAAACUGCACUUGUGUGAACAAUUCUUUUUUUUUUUUUUUAUUAAAUAACAAUAUUUAAACGUGCUCCUUCAAUUGUUUUGUGCGUGAUGGUUUUUUACUCUUCUUCUUUGAUUAUUCAAUUCUAACCCAAAAGGUCAAAAUUAAAUUUCUCAGCAUAAAUAAAUAAAUAAAUAAAUAUAUAUAUAUAUAUAUGUAUAAUAUAAUAUCCAAGUAAAGAGUGACUGAGGGAGUUCCUACUUCCUACUCCUAUAUUCCAUGAUUUGUGGAUCAAAUCCACUUGAUAUGGGUCCCGCUUAUGCAAUUAUAAUAAUCACCGUUGGAGGCCCAACAUGGCAAUAUGCCCCAGUGGAGAAAGAAAACAAAAACCAAACAAUAAUUCUGGAGAAUUUAUAUAUUAUGCCAAAAUUCAUUAGUUGGUACUUAUAUUUUUUGUUAUUUAAUCCUUAAUAUUUUCUAACGUCAAAUGUUGAGUCCUUCUGUCUAUUUUUUUCUUUACUUCUGAAUUAAAAAAAGCAUUGUGAAAAGAUGAAGAUACUUUUAUGUACCCAUAAGUUCAGUUAAAUAUAAAUUGGUGGACAAUUUAUUUUUUGUAUUCGGUUGACACCGCAAUUGUUCUAAAUUCAUUGGACUAAGUUUAAUUCUACUCGCAUUACGGAUCAACAAGAGCAUAUGCUCACAGCAGUUACAAGACAAACUAAUAAAUUUUAGGAUAAUGUAGAAAUGUUAUAAUAAUAUUUUUCAAUAAUUUUUUAAUCCAGUCAAAAUAACACCCUUUAAUCAAGUUUAAAAGGUAUGCAAGUAAGAUUUUUCGAUAAUACUGAUUGUUGGAUUUAAACUUCUGAAUAUACAAAUAAAAUACAUUUGAGAAAGCACUUCAUUCAACUGUAAUUUUUUUUUAUCCUACUUAUCGAUAAUCAUUACCAACUACAGUAAUUACAAGCAGUUAAAUCCUAAUAAUUUAAAGUUUAUAUAAUCGCUUAAUCUAGUAAAUACAAUAUGAAACAACCAAAUUAUCUCUUUUUUCAAAAAAAAUUUCCUUUAGGAGAAAAUUUUCAAAAUCAGUAGAGGCAGGAUCUUGAAAGGUCGAAUCAAACAUGGCUGCAAGUGGGUCAGCCCACUUAGAGUAGAAAAUAUAAAAUCUUUAGGAGCUUUCAAACGAAGCAAAAACAAGGCUGCAGAUAUGGAAAUUGACUGUUAUACAGCCAUGGACCGUAUUUGGUGCACUUGCAAUUUGCAGCAAAUUGCAUGUUUCGGUGGCUACUAAUAUAUUAUUUUUUAACGUCUACUUGCAAAGUUUGGACCGUCCGCUUCCCAUUAGACCCAAUUUGACUGAACACGGUCGCACCGUCGGCUUCACCUUGUGGUUCUAUGAAUCUGAACUCACGUGGUCUUAUCCAUUAACCGACAAAUUAGGAUCGCACUGUUUUUAUCCUCCCUUUGCUCAUCAAAAUUUGACAGUUUGGCGGCGAUUCAGAUUUUUUUCUGUUCAAAAUUCUUUUUUUUUUCCCCUUCCACUCAAAGCUAUUUUAAUGGAGUCAAAUGUCUAACAGUUGUUUUUUGAAAGUAGAUAUUAAUAGUUGUUCAAACUAUUAAACUUUAUUAUUAUAUGGUUGAAGUAAACUAAUAAAGCGGCUCAAGAAAAAAAUCUAGCCCAUUACAGUUAUUUAUUUAAUAAAAAAAUACUUGCUUAUUGUCAUUGUACAUCAACUGUAACAAUAAUCAACAGGGUUAAUUUACAUGCAAAGGACUUAAGUCCCUUAAAUAGAGAUAAAUAUUUAAUGGGUAAUUUGAAUAACAUUUUUAACCGAAAUAAAAUAAAUUAAUUUUUUAAUCGAAUUUAAUCAAAUCGUUUUGACCAAAUUAAUUUUGACUAUAAGUUAAAGAAAAUGAAAAUUUAAUUAACUGACUGAAUUUAAUAAAAAUUUAUGAUUAACUGACUUUAAUCGAAAUAAAAACUAACUAAAAUUAUUAAUCACUAGUUAAUCCAAAUAAAAUUAAUAUUUUUUAAUUUUUAAUUUUAUUAUCUAAUUAAUCAAAACGAUAUAGUUUUGAAAGUCGAUUAAUUUGAUUAAUUCGGUUAAAUUAACUUUGCACCGAUCACCGAAAAUCUAAUUUUUUUUAAUCAAACAUUUAUUCAUCGAAUUGAAUUGCUCAAAUUAGCUGAACCAAAUGCUCAACCUACCCUUAAAUAAGAGACCAAAUGUUUGAUCAUUGUAAAUAAAGGCAACCCAUUGCAAGUCUUUUCUCCUUAUGAAUUGGGAUACAAUAAAAUUUUAAAUUCGAAUAAAUUCAGAGUGGAGCGCUUAAAAUACUAAAGAAACUCUCUUUGAUCAUACUUAGUUUUGAAUUGUAUUAUAUCAAAUCCGAUAGAAUCAAAGUAUUUCGCCAUCUUUAAAUUUUCAAUUGACAUGCAUUUAAAAAAUUUUGGCAUUGUCUUUAUCUAAUAAACAAAAAUACUAAUCAUAUCUCCUCAACUUGAUGUACUAUUUGAUAUGCACAACAUCUCCUUCGAUUAAGGAAAAAACAAAUACUAUCAUGAGACUGCAGAGAAAAUCAUUUUAUGUAGAAUUUUUGUUAAUAAUGGUACUAUCACACCUGUGAAAGAAAUGUGUUGAAAGCUCCCAUGUCAAGUAAAUAGAAAGCAUCCUAACUAAGAAUUUAGAAAAUCCAAGAAACGUGACCCAUGAAAGGAAAAAGGGAUGCCAUUAGAUUCAGCAAAGAACACCCACCUAAUAAGUUAAGUAACACUCUAAAACAACACUAUCACACAAAGGAAUUGCCAAAUCCCAAGGAAAGUGAAAGCCCCAAUUCUCACCAUAUAAAAAAUCCCAUUUCUACUUGCAUCUCUCUCUGGUCCCACAAUAUUAUGUACUGUGUUGUGUUCACUUGACGUGAUGCGAGACUUGCAGCUUCAACUUGCUCUCUGCCCCUUUAUUGUUACCUUUUACUACCACCUAAAGAUAGUUAGGAAGGCACGUGACUCCAGCUUUGGAAUUUGGACUAUAACCACCCAUUAUAACUUCCGCCCACCAUUUUAUAUUCUCAUUUUAAUCCAAUUUAGUAUUGAAAAAAUCAAUACGUAUGUAUUUUCUUUAUGUUUAAGCAAGAGUAAAAUAAUAUGGUUGGGACCCAAAAGCGGUAGCAACUGGGCAACCAUGACAUGAGCAUUACAUUAGAUAUAAAAUUGAUAAAAAUGGAUUACCAUUACUACAACUUUUAUAUAUUCUUACGGAGAACGUGCCAACAUGUGAUGGCUAAGGUUGGCAGGCGGACCAUGAACAUGAACAUGAACAUGGUAUAUAAUAUACUGAUAAACCAAAUUUCAUGCACAAGUUGGCCAAUGUCAUGUCUUAAAUUUAGAAACUUGGAAUUUGUUAUCUUUUUCGCUGGAAAAGAGGGUUAUUUGAAUCUUACCAAAUUUCUGUAAUUUCUUGAUGGCUGUUAAAGACAUUAAUACAUGCUUUUUUUAGCUACGUCUAGGUGCAAGAUUUUCUUGGGAGUUUGGACCUUCCUUCUUCUUUUCUGACCUUCCUUCUUCUUUUCUUUAUUUUUUCAAAUUUUCCCAUCAAAAUGAAAUCUGAAAAUUACUAUAAAUUAUUUAAUGGAAGUUUCUCCAAUGGAGACAAAAGAAGAAAAGAUGAUUGGUAUAGAAUAGGAAGUAUCUUAGCAGAGGACCCAGUGUAUACGUGGAGAAGAGUGGUUGGUUGGAUAUGAAGCAAUGGAAGUUUCCUCUCUAUUACUAUUUCUUUCUAGCUAUGUUGAAGGAAAACAAUUCCUAUAUAUAAAAAGAAAGAAAAAAGGAAAUUCAUAAUAGUUCUACCACAUUGUGUGUGGAUAUAUAUAAACAAAUAAAUAGAGAGUGAGCUGUGAACAACUAUGAAAGAAAUGAGGAAUAGCAUAUGUUUUAUGUAAGUAGAAACUUCUUGGCUAAUGGAUAGGAUCAAAAGAAUAAGAUUUCUUUUGAUCUGAAAAGAUAUUUGUAUGACCUGUUCUUACCAUGUAAUCAACCACUCCUUGCAAAAACAACUUGUUCUUGCUGCUUCUUACUCCAUAACUAUGAAUUCCCAAUUAUUUCAAUUCGCAAGAUUCCAGAUAGUGUUUGAAUUAAUCUAUAAUUUUCAUAAUUAUUUAUAUAAUACCCACUAAAAUACGUGUAUUUACAUACAUAAAUUGAAUGUAUAGGCUAAUUAAUUUUGGGAAUAAUACCCGAAUUUGAUGGGGGAAAAAAUGUUGAAAAUGAUAUUGCAUUGCCAACUUCACAUUAAACACGCGUUUGGUGUUUGCGUCCAAAGACAGCUACAACAUGUAUAUAUAUAAGAAACACUCAGAUUCUAGACAUGAGUUAGGAAAGAAUAGUUAAUUAAUCAUUCAUAUCUUUUUUCUGCUACUUCAAGUCACAAUUAAAAAAAUGCUUACCACCCUACAAAUACACGUUGUUAGAAUAGUGUAUGUCAAGGUUAAAAAAUUGCUAUUUGCUAUUUUGGAUCAAAUUCAUUAUUUACAUAUUUUUCACAUUUCAGAUUUUUGUUUUAAAAAUUGUAUAUUCCAAGUUGUUCAAUUCUUCAAAUAAUUGAACAACUUACAUCUACUCUCUAAUUGUCUGCCGACAAGUCAAGAAAUCAUCAUAAAUUUUUUAAGAAAUCUCAACAGUUUUGUUAUGAUUAUUUAAUUUACAUGUUCACAUUUUAAACAUAUUUAUGUUUGUUAUUUGUAACAUUAUAAUUUAUGUUCAUGUAAUAAAAAUUGUGCCUCUGUUUUAAUAUUAUUAUCACUUGUAUUUUCUUUUUCACCAAAUGCUGCUAAUAUAAUAUAAAUGACAUCUAUUUACACGCGGACCACGUGGGUAUUUUGAAAUUAAUGUAAAAGUGAUAAUUUUACGUUUUAAAUGCUUGAUUUAGUAGAUAAAGUUUGACUAAAGAUAUAGUCUAGUGUCAAUAAUUCGAUUAUUUUAUAUAUCAUUUUAUUUCUAUCGCGUGUUAAUACUCAAUUAUUACAUAUAUUAUAAAAAUUAUAUAAAAUUCACAAAAUAAAAUAAAAAAAAUCAACUUCAAAAUCUUUUGCCACAAAACCGAAUCCACCUUAAUGUUAAUAUUCUAAUUAAUGUUGGGCAAUUCAAGAGAAUCUAAUUUUUUUCUUAUUGCCAAAGGAUGAUUUAAGAAAGAAAAUUACAAAAUCUUAUAAUUAAGGAAAAACAUAAUCCCUAUUCCUAACCGUGUAUCGUAUAGCCAAGCCAAGCAAACUGUAAACGUGUGUGUACAAACCAACACGCGUAGGCGUAGAUCAACGGUAAGAAUCCACCGAAUCGAAAGAAAGGAUCAACCAUAUCCACAUACUCUAUCACGGACACGUUUUUAAACAGCGCCUACCCGUUUUCUUUUUUCCAUAUUUUAAUUUCUUAAAUUGAAAAUUAGGAAAAAAAUUCACAAAUAUACAAAAUUUUUGAGUGCCGAAAAUAAAUUCCUUGCCUAUCACGUGCAUUAAAUGUAUACCGACAUUUAAUAUUCAAAGAACUGCCAGAAAAUCCUCUCUAUAUAUAAAUUGGGUUUGCUUGUGGGUUUUACCACUAGUUCGUUGUGACUUGCUACCUCUGUUCUCUCUUCCUUUGCCUCAAAGAAAGGGAAAAAACAAAUUCUACAAAUUUCACUCAAAAACCCAUCGAGAAAGAAACCAGUUCUUGCUCCAAUGGAUUGGAUUCGAGGUGAGUCGCUUGGUUGUGGUAGUUUUUCUUCUGUCAAUUUAGCCAUACCCAGAAAAAACUCCGCUCCAUUAAUGGCUGUGAAAUCUUGCGAUCUUUUUGACUCUGUUUUGCUCGAGAAUGAGAAGGAAGUGUUAUUGCAUCUUGGGAAGUGCGAGAAUGUGAUUCAGUGUCUUGGGAGUGAUCAAAGUGUUGAAAACGGUGAAAAGUUUUAUAAUUUGCUGUUAGAGUAUGCUUCUGGCGGCAGUUUAGCUAAACUUGUAAAGAAUUCCGGCGGUUGUUUACCGGAAUCGGAGAUUAAACGUUUCACAAGAUCGAUACUAAAGGGUCUUCGUGAUAUUCACGCAAAAGGGUUUGUUCACUGCGACAUAAAGCUUCAGAAUUUAUUGUUGUUUGAUAAUGGUGAAGUGAAAAUUGCGGAUUUUGGAUUAGCCACAAAAACAGGGGAAAAAUCGGGGAGAAUGGAAAUUCGAGGAACUCCUCUGUAUAUGUCGCCGGAAUCAGUCAACGAGAAUGAGUAUAAUUCACCAUGUGAUAUUUGGGCUCUUGGGUGUGCUUUGGUUGAGAUGGCGACGGGAAAACCGGCGUGGAAUUGCAAGAAAGAAACCAACGUAGCAGCUUUGUUGAUUCGAAUUGGAUUAGGAGAUGAAUUGCCAGAAAUUCCUCAAGAAUUGUCUAAAGAAGGAAAAGAUUUUCUAUCGAAGUGUUUUAUUAGAGAUCCUAAGUCAAGAUGGACGGCUGAGAUGUUAUUAGAUCAUUCUUUUGUUGCUGAUGACAUUAACAACUGUACUGUUACAUUGAAGAACAGAGAAGAAGAAGAAGAAUCACCGAGAUGUCCUUUUGAAUUUCCAGAAUGGAAUUCAUUUCCAUCUUCUACACCAAAAUCUGAAUUAUGGUCUCAUGGAGAAGCAGAAUCAAGAAUUGAUUGGUCUAAUUUGACCUGUUCAUCUUCGCUGGCGGAUAGAAUCCGGCAACUACAGAGUGAUCAGUGUUGCAAUUGGUCCUUCUCUGAAAGUUGGGUCACUGUUAGGUGAUAAAACAGAGCAGCAGUAAUUUCAGGACAUUUUUUUAAUUCAAUUAUUCAGAUUCCAUUUUUUGUAAUGGGUGAUGAUUUUUUGGAAUUGUAAAUGACUAGGAAACAAUUAGAGGGUAACAAAAUAUCUAGCAGACUAACUUUAGAUGAUUGUACAGUGGAAGAGUGUAUAGAACAUUUUUUAACAGAGUAAAAUAAUUUUCUUUUCCAAGAAAGGUCAUACUUGCAGAAAUCUUUUCUUCUUUUAAUGAAAUUGCUUAAUUUUUCAUUUUUUUUUUUUUUUACAGGCAUAGAACAGAGUGCAUGGUGGUAUGUUGGAUAUUUAUGAUUAUGUAUAAAUUAAGGCAUUAAACCCUACAAAAAGUCUCUCCCCUGUUUUUAUGGUUAUAUAUGUGUUCCUAAGAGUAAACUCUAUUGAUUGGAUUAUUUACUAUAAUUAGAAGAAAGUUUUUCUUAGUAUAAUUAAUAACAGCAUGCUUGAAUGAGAAAUUGGUUUGUGAUUUUUUUAAUUAAUUGCAAGGACCAACUUGGAGGAUCUGAAAAGUAGGGAAACAUCCUUGAAAUAUUCUCUGGAUUCCUUGCCAUAACUUCUUCAACAGUCAUUCUUGAUAAGUUUGGUGCAAUUGCUACCUAAAAAGAUAAUACUACAAUCCAAGCAGAUCCUUUUACAAUUAUAAUUUUUGAAAUACAUUAUAAAUUUUAUCAGGAAGCCAAAACUCAUUUAAGGGCAACUCAGCGUAAUAAAAACAGAGAGAUCCAAAUUGAUUGAAAAUGUAAAAAAGAUAAUUGCCUUCUCUUUGGAGAGUAAAAUCACCGUUAAUUGCUUGAAGCAUGUUGUCGUCAUUAACUAAUAAUUAACAAUGAUGGUACCAAAUAUCUUUCAUGAGGAUGAUCACACUUAGCGGAUGCUAUCAAUUUCGAUUUUCUUUCAUCACCUUAUUUAUGGAUUUGAUAUCUUUCAUCAUUUCCUUUUUCUUUUCUACAUAAACUAUCAGAAGAAUAAUUAGACUUAUGGUGUUAAUUGAUUUAAAUAUAUUAUAUUAAAUUUAUUUUUCCAAUCUAAUUAAGAUAAACCAGUAAUUACACAUUUUCUGCACUAUUUUGAAAUAUUAAAACUUAUGGUUCAUAUUUCUUGCUAACAGUUUUUAUAAUAGUGAGAAUACAAGUUUGAUUUUCGAUGAGCUUACUUAUUCUGAGAACAAAAAAAUCACUAAGUUAUAAAUUUUUUAACCAAUAUGAUUGUUAUUGGGAAGCAUGCCAUUAUCAAUCAAUAGACAAGCUAAAUAAUUAGGAUUAGUGUUAGGUUAAGGAUAUGAAUUGUGUAAUAAAAUAUUAGAGACAUGAGCUUCUCAUGUGAUAUUUAUAUAAAACACCAAUAUCAAUAUUGCUUUAAAAUCAUGUGAUUUAUGGGUUGGUGGAAAAGGUUUACAAUGCACCCAACUUCACAUGAUCCGGGUCCAUCCAAUGCAUCAUCCUUGUUUAACCAUUAAGAGUAAUUUUCACUUUGAAAAUUUUGCAACCCUAUUAUUUUGAAGUUUGGUUAUAUUGCUUUUACUUGGAAGUUUGUUUGGAUCCUUUUCUAGUCAUCUCAUAGGUCAUUUGAUACCAAAAUUUCCUCAUUUUAGCAUGUGGGGAAUAUACCCAAUUUUGUUUGACACCUUUGAUUGAAUGUAUGCAAUGUAUAUAUAUACAUGCCUAAUUCCAAGUUAGAUGUGAAAUAUAAAUAUAAAUUGUAUUGUUUCUUGCAUCAUAAAUAUCAUGUGAUAAGGAGAAAUAAAUAUUUUAAAUUUAUAAACACAUGCAUUGUAUUUGAAUUUCUGACCACAUAUAACUAUUACAUUUAAUUAGGACCAUAUUUGAAAUGUGCUUAAAUAAAUAUCCUUGCAUUAACUCGUAGUAGGUGCAAGUGAAUUGUUUCUCAUAUUAGCAUCAAACAUCAUUGUUUUCUAACUAAAACAAGUCUAAUUAAUGUGUGUAUAAUCUUGUUAGAAAAAUUUGAUAUUAAUUUGAGAAUUACAAUUUUAGCCCUUAAAAUUAGCAUAAAACUCAAUUUCAUGUUAAGUCUUACAAUAUUUAUCAAGUUUUAUUUAGACAUUUACCAUCGGAUAAAAUUCACUAACUCGGAUUUUAGAACAAACCCACAAAUAAAAAAAAAAAAAAACAUUGAGAUAAAAUCACUUGAAUAUGUAAUAAACUAAAGUCAUGUGGGCUCAAGGCUAAGGCUCCGUUUGUUUCAGUAAAAUAACUUACAGAAAAAUGUUUUCUACAAUUUUCCAUUAUUUGGUGCGCUCAAAAAAAUAAGUCAACAGAAAAUAUUUUUCUGAUUAAAGAAAAAUUAAGUCAUUUUUUUAAGGAAAACAACUUCUCAUUUUUUAGAGAGUAAAACAUUUUUUAGAUAUUGACAAACCGUAUAAAUCCAUAUUUUUUAAUUUAUUAAUCAUCAUAGUCACUACUACCGGUCAUCAUUUCCCACCGACCACCACAGGCCACCGACGGCUUUCAUAAUUUAUAUAUUUUUUUUGCAUUAUUUUCAUAUUUAAUAAUAAAAAUUUUAAAUUAUAAAAUUUCUAUUAUUAUUAAUAUUUUUUAUGGUCUUACGAGAUAAAACUUUAAUAUUUUUUAACUAAUUUUCAAUAUUACAACUAAACAACAGAAAAUAAGUCAUUUGAAAAAUAUUUUUCAUAAAAAUAUUUUUCAGCAAAUUGUUUUAUGAAAACAAACAGAAUCUAAAUAUAACAAAGAUUGAAAGAGCGUCCGCUUUAAUGCUAUGUAGAAUAUUGAAAUGUAACAAUAUUGAAAACAACUGAAUACAUACGAAUAUCAGUAUGCUCCCAUACUAUGUUAGAAAGGUUAAAUAUAAAUUUGAAACAUUUACAUCUCAUAAUUAAUUCGUUGGAAAACAUAAUUUUUUUAAAAAAAAUUUAUACUAAUAUAUAUUUAAUUUAUGUAAGAUUGUAUCCCACACCAUAUAUCUUAACAAAUCUCAUGACAAUAGCACAUCGUACCAACUAAUGAAAUUUGAUUUAAUAAUACUCAAAUAGUACUUUCAACUAUAUGGUUAAGACUUCAAAUCUUAAAACCAAAUCUACCCUAAUCAAAAGUUUAGUGCUAUGGUUGCAUAAAACUAAAACAAUCAAAAUAAUCUUAAACUAUUACAAGCAAUCGAGCAAAGGAUUUUAAUUAAACCCACCGACGAAUCCAAAAUCUAGAUUUGAUGCAUGAUUUCAAUUUUUCAUGGGGUCCAAGUCCUGCCCAUAAGCCAGAUAUGCUUCUCCAAGAGGUUCCCUUCUCCCUUCACCCCACAAGAUCUUUUGUCUCCUUUUGUUAGCACUUACAUAAUUUUUUUUUUUUGAAAAUGUCAUAAUUGAAUUUUUAUAUAUAUGUAUAUAUAUAUUUCUUAAGAAAAAAAAAAAAAAAGAACACAUCCCUUUUGUUUCCUUCUCAUUAAAUAAAUAAUUACUUUUAAAUAAUUGGCGUUUACUGAUAAUUGCACUUGUUCUUAAGUGAAAUUGGGACAUUCAUUUUUUUAGGGUCUAUGACCACCAAGCAUUCAACCCUCUUAUGGAAUUUGGGUUUAACCAACUUACCUAAAACAUAAGCUCUUGAUCGAACCGUGAAAUUGAGUGUCAAUGGUACUGGUUGAGUUGGUGCACCAUUCAAACUUCCCAGGUUAGCUCCCCCACCAUAUAACGGGAUUUUAUUCCCCUUUACCAUCACUGUUACUGAUCUUUGACUCUUUCUUGAUUGAUAGAAUUUUCUCAUCUGCCAAACACAGUUUUACAAAUUUCACUUCUAAAUUCCAAUAAAAUAAAAGAAAUAUCAACAUAUUACUUGAAUUAUCAAAUUAUCAAAUCCUUUCUUUAUUUUGUUUUUAUUUUUCACCACACUCUUAUCUUUCUAAAUUUGGUAAUUAAGGCUCUUUAUUAUCUUUCUGAAUUUAUAAAUUAAGUCUCUUUAUUAUUUUUCCAAUUUAUUUUAGUUCUUGAAAGCUAAUUUAUACUCUCUCUUUGUCCUAGUUUUUCUUUUUUCAUCCAUUCUAAAUUGUUGUCAAUUUUUUAAAAAAUAAAUAAUAUUUUGAUGUUUAUUAUUUUUCCUUUAUUUAAUAUGCUUAUUUAUCAACAAAUAUAAUAUUCAAAGUACUAUAUUAUCAUUAUUUUUAAUUAUCUUUCAAGAAAACUUUAUUUAAUCAAAUAUUUGAUAAUGAUUUAAUUAAUUUUAAGAACCAUUCAAUAUUAAUGGAUAUUAACAUAAGGGUAUAUUAGAGAAAAAAUAAGGCAAAAAUUAUAGUUUAACUAUAUUAACUAAAAUUCCUUAAUAUGUAUAAAGGUCAAACCGAGACAAAAAUUAUGGGGCGGAGAAUGAGUCUUUAACCUGCUAUAAAUUUCUUCAUUAUUUCUUAUUAGUAAUUAAUUUAAAAUUCAUGAAUUUUUUUUUUCUUUUGUUAUUAUAUUUGUAUUUUAAAAAUUUUCUAAAUUCUCAAUAAUUUUUUUUUCUCGAUAAAAGUGCUCAUAGCACCAAUACUAUGAGCGAAACCGGAUCAAAAUUAGCCAGAACUAAAAUCUGUCACGAGUUGGUUAAAGUCCCUUUUAUGAGGAAUUUCAACCUUGGUUUCGCUAAACUGCCCAUAUGCCCGUAUUGAUAUUAUCACUAUUUCUUCCUUUUUUUUUUUCGUUUUUGAAACAACCAUUAUUUCUAAUUUGUUAUCUACAUAAUAUUCCAGUUUGUGUGUUGCUAGGCUUCAUGGGCCCAAAGCCCAUGUGAAGCCUAAAAGCAUUUAAAGGGUGCUCAUCUUCUUUUUAAAUUUCUAAUAAAUACUAAAUAAACUGUCUAUAUAAAUAAGAUUAAAUAUAAUAAAAAAUAUUUUUAUUAAACUUAAUUUUAUAUAAACAAAUUUUUUUUUUUUUUUUGACAUAGACACAAACUUGCAGGGAACUUAAAGUUAUUAGUAAAAUCAAUUCAGUUUGAUUCUUAUAAAAUCAAAAUAACUGAAUUUUUUUUAGUUAGAUUAACCAUAUUGAAUUUUAACAAGAACUAAAUCGAAUUGAAAUGAAAUUCUACUAAAAAGUCAAACUGAAAUAAUUAAAAUUUCUAUUACAAACAUAUAACAUAUGUAUGUAUAUAUAAAUGUAUUUAAAAUAGUUUUUACAUUAAAUUUAUAUAAAAAUAUAUCUAAUUCAGUUGAUUAUUUUUUAUAAAAAUAAAUCAAACUAAAAUAGUCCAAUUUAACAAAAACUGAAAAUUAUAUAAUUUUUUUAAAAAUUUUUUGAAUACUGAAGAAAAUUUAAACCUAAUAACACCAAUUUCUCAUUUGUCCUGUAAUGCAAAUAAAUAAAUAAGAAUACAGAAUUGCUUACAGUUCCAGUAGCUAAAGUGAGUUGAGAAUAAGAUAGAUCCAAAGGUGUUGCAGUUACAUGAACUCCAAAAAACGUUGCCGUAUUACGAAAUGUAAGCUUCACGGAGCAGUUCAUAGACACCAUUUCUGUUGCCACUCCUGAGAAAUCCGCACCCGCUUGUACUAUAAAUUGAUCAAAAACAAUAGUCUGCAACCAAACAACCCAUAACCAAAUUUAAUUAGUAUUUUCGUUCAUAAUUCCAUUUAGAGUUAAUUAAAUUAUUAAUUACCUUCAUGGUGACGGUGGGUUUUUGAGGACGACUUGCACCCCAAAUAAUUAACGAAAACAAAGAGAAAAGUAUAAAAAAUCCCAAAACAAAAGCGAGAAAAUAACAACGACGACGCAUUCCAUGUGGACCAAUAUCUCCAUCGAGAAGACCUUCUUCUUCAAUGGCGUCAAACGCCUUCCAUGGCUUCCGGCUGACUUUCCGUUCGCUGGUUUUGCGGUGGGGUUUGAGAGACCCAGAGAAUCGUGUAGAAGAAGAUUCGCGAGAGUGUGGCCCCAAAGAAGAGUUGGAAUGGGAAUGUGGAGGGGAGCCGGCCGGACUGAGCACAGGAGUAGAGUGGAAUGAGUUUGUCGUUUUCUCGCCGUCAUGAGAGUCUCUAGAUGGGCUUUGCACGUAGUAUACAGGGCGGCGAGGCGUUGAUGAUGAUCUUGUCGGAGAUGAGUGAGUUAAGCUGCUUACUUCUGAGUCAGUCUUGGAGAGAUGCGUUGACAUUGUCGUUUUGAUGAGUCGUUAAUGUAAUAAAAAUGGUAAUAAACAGAGUUUCAGGAGAUGGGGAAGUGAAGAGGAAGAGUGAGUGAGAGCGUUUGUAGGAUCUCUAGAAACGUAGGUUAUGGAGGAGCACGUUGUUAUAUGUUUUGUUUAAUGAAAUCGAAGUGUUGAUUAUGAACGCAAUUAAUAGAGGGGAUGGUGGACUUUGCAGUAACUAGCUGGAAUUGUCUACUUGAUGUUUUUUAUUGAAUAAUUUUUCAGUUCAGCUCUUAUUUAUAAACUAGAAUUUAUGGCACACUCACUAUAUUUAUUUAUGUUAGUAAAAAAAAAAAUCCAUAAUUUGCUAUUUGGAAUAAAUGGAUUUCAUAAAGUUUUAUGAAAUUUAUUUAUAAAUCUAAAUUUUUUUGUUUGGAAUGAAAAACAAUAAAGAAUUCAAUUUUAGGAAUUUAAUUAUGUUGUGUAUUUGAAUAUAUCUAAAUCAAAUUCUAUCAAAGAAAGUAAAAUUUCCAAAUGAAUUCCAUAAACUUAAAUAAUCUAAAACUUCAUGACAAAAUUAUUCAUGACCUUUUUAAAGUUAUUGUGCUAAGGAUAUUUUUGAAAAUCAAAUAAAUUUUAAAUAUUAAAUUUAUUCCAAAUAUAAAAAAUUUAUUUAUAAAUGAAUUCAUCUACAAUUUAUAAAUUCUAUAUUUUGAAUACAUUUAUUAUUAAAUGGAUGGUAACCGUUAGUCUCAAGUUUAAUAUCUUUUUAUAUUUUAAUUACAAAUUAUAUUUGUAAUUAUAAUAUCUGAUUUCAAACAAUUGGUCUUGGUUAAGUAUGGGUUUUUUAUUUUUUUAUUUUUUUUCCAAUCCAUUUUAUCACAAAAAUUUGCAUUUACCAUUAAUUGAAGAUUUGGGAAACAAAGAAAAAAAAGGGAAGAACCUUUUAAUUAAUGCAUGUGGAGCAUGCAGAUCCAACGCCCUGGUGAAGCAAAGAGAAAAAAGAAAAUCCAUCUCAUGAUUUCCGAGACCCAUCCCAUUUAAAAGAAAAGACAAGAAAAAUACAAGAUCUAACACGCUGAAUCUCAAUCAAAUUGUGGGCAUGGACUACGUACUUGCGGACCCUUUCCCCUUAUUUUAUUCAUUAUCACUAUACUUUUGUUUUCAUUCACUUGCCUCUGAGUAACAAGUGGUAAGGAUGAUGUUCUAAAACGGUUUGGUCUCUGAUCGGAUCCAUGGAACCGUUUCACCUCUUCAAAGAGGUAAAAUGGAAAUGAAAAUGGAGAAAGGGAAUCAGCUGAACAGAUGCACUUUCAUUAGCGUUUUUUUAGGUAAUUUUUUGGAAAUUUUCCCUUAGGUUAUGGCCUGACCAUUCACUGCCAAUUUUUGUCAAAGGUCCGGAAUAAUCCGAUAGGCGAAAUUUAGAGUUUGAGACAGCCUGUGAUCCUGCUAGGUUCCAAAAUUUGCACUCAAGGAUUCAAAAUAUAUAAUAGUUGUUGGCAUGGGCGAUCGGAUUCAAGAUUACGUCUGGACAUGACAUCGAUCAGUACCGCAUUUAGAUUUCCACGUUUUGCAAAUCUUGCUUGAACCAAAUCCUUGUACUAUGUAAUAGUUAUGUUAUGAUUCCGUAUGUUCGUGCGCCCACGUGUCAGUUGGGACUGAAAAAUCUUACUAUAUGAUAGAUGAGCUAAAUUCAAUUAACGUGUUGUAUUUUUGUGGAUGACUAGAUGUUUGUAAAUUAGAAUUUAUAAGGAUCCUAAAAUAGUAAAUGUACUCCUAGCAAGCAGCAUCAACCUUUAACUUAUGUUUAAACUUGUAAUAUGGAAAGUUAUAAAUCCUAUGCCACAUAUUGUAUAUAUGUAUAUAUUGUCAGGAAAUUAGCUUAAGUUUAGAAUUUGCAAUCAAUUAUUCCACUCAAUUUACAAAAAUAAAAACAUAAACAUGACCGAGUAUAUGUCACGGUUCAUUAAAUGUGAAUCCUUAACUGAACAUUACAUAUUUUAAAAUGAUUAUGUUAUAUUAAUAAAAUUAUAGCUAUAUUUAUAUAAUCUACUUAAUCUAUCAACAGUUAUUUUAAAUUAAUUUAUGAAGUUUUGUAUUUUGUAAAUAUUGCUUUAGAUUUACACAGGUUUGUCAACAAUCAGGAAAGAGCCAUUUAGAAAAUAGCUACACAACCGUGCAAGAUUUUUUCAAGAUCUAAAUCU